AGUAACGCGUGGGUAACCUGCCUCAUACAGGGGGAGUAACAGUUGGAAACGGCUGCUAAUACCGCAUAAGCGCACAGUACCGCAUGGUACGGUGUGAAAAACUACCGGUGGUAUGAGAUGGACCCGCGUCUGAUUAGGUAGUUGGUGGGGUAACGGCCUACCAAGCCGACGAUCAGUAGCCGACCUGAGAGGGUGACCGGCCACAUUGGGACUGAGACACGGCCCAAACUCCUACGGGAGGCAGCAUG
rnacentral:rRNA from 1 species